UCGGAUAUGGUGUAAUGGCUAACAUUACCGCCUCUCAUUUGGUAAUGUCAUCGCGGUAGCUCGGGGUUCGAUUCCCCGUAUCCGAG